AAAAGAAAUGAAAAAUUCGAACCAUCCUCGUUGGUUUCCUUCUUGUCCUCUUUUUCUUCGUCUUGUUUUUUCAUGCCAUUGCCGUCGUCAUUGUUGGCGUUGUCGUCGGCGAGAGGAGGCGAAAAAGCAGGAUGAGAAGACUUUGAUAUUCCAU
rnacentral:ribozyme from 14 species